rnacentral:rRNA from 1 species
UACGAAGGGGGCUAGCGUUGUUCGGAAUUACUGGGCGUAAAGCGCGCGCAGGCGGUCCUUCAAAUCAGAGGUGAAAGCCCAGAGCUCAACUCUGGAACGGCCUUUGAGACUAGAGGACUUGGGUACGGGAGAGGUGAGUGGAAUUCCGAGUGUAGAGGUGAAAUUCGUAGAUAUUCGGAAGAACACCAGUGGCGAAGGCGACUUACUGGACACAUAUUGACGCUGAGGUGCGAAAGCGUGGGGAGCAAACAGGG